GGUUGUGGCUCGGUGGCAGAGCACCUACUUCACAAGCAGAAGGUCCCAGGUUCAAAAUCUCCACCGGCAGCAUCU